rnacentral:lncRNA from 1 species
GUACGUCCGUCUGUCCUUCCGUCCGUUCGUUCAGGUUAAAGUUUUUGGUCAAGGUAGUUUUUGAUGAAGUUGAAGUCCAAUCAACUUCAAACUUAGUACACAUGUUCCCUAUGAUAUGAUCUUUCUAAUUUAAUUGCCAAAUUAGAGUUUUGACCCCAAUUUCAUGGUCUACUGAACAUAGAAAAUGAUAAUGCGAGUGGGGCAUCCGUGUACUAUGGACACAUUCUUGUUUAUUAUUAUUUUG